rnacentral:lncRNA from 1 species
CGAACUAAGCCUGAACAAUUCCUUAAAAAGUCGAGUUUGGACAAUUCCCAACUCUAUAAGCAAAAGUUCGACUCGACACAGCUUAAUCUUGGUCGUCCAUUUUAAAUUAAAGGUGAGAUGGAUACUCUCGAGAUGUGUUCUAGAGUUAAAUUAAAAAAAAAAUUGACAAUUGAUAGACGUAUACAAGGUAUCUAUCUUAUGAGAACCAUUUCGAAAAGAAUCAAACCUUGUAAAAGAGACUCAAAUCUUUGUAUGUACUUAAACAUGAUGAAGUAGUAGUAGUACUAAGUGUAGUAGCCAGUAGCCAUUUGGGCAUUUGUCUUGAACCUCGAUCGGACCAAAUCUGGUCUGACCCAGUACGCUCCUCCAGUCUUCUAACCCUCUCUCUCAUUCAUGUCCCUUUGUGGCGCAACAGUGAGAAGACAAGACCCCAGCAUGUUUUAACCCUUUUAUCCUGUCAAACCGUAGUACAGUGUUCCGUGUUCUGUAUUCUCCCUCCCUCCCACUGCCUUGCGUAGAUAGAAGCCAUGAAACGGAAUGAUGAGAAAAAGGGAAAAACAAAAGAUAAAGGGAUCGAUCGAUGGAGGAGGAAAAAAAGAUAAUGGGUGUCUUGAGUUUCUGCCAUGCCAGAAUAUAUAUUGCAGCAGAGAAAAGAAAGAAAAGAAGACCUCCAACUGACUUGUGGGCCUCAAAAGCAGCUCCCACUAUGCUCAUUUCCUCCGCGUUUUAGCUUCCUCCACCAUAUGCUUCCCACUUGAGAAAGAAAGAACCGACCUCCAGCUCAAACACCACCUUCUAUGG